GGCUCAGUGGUUCAGUGUUCAUACGUUAGGCUUAAGACCAAGAGGUAUCGGGUUCGAAUCCUGGCUAGGGCA